AGUGCAUCACCGCAGGCGGGCCUCGCGGGUCCGGGAGCGCGGCGGAGACGAUGCCUGAGAUCAGAGUCACGCCCUUGGGUAGAUGAUGAGCUGGAGAUCAAGGCCUACUAUGCAGGCCACGUGCUGGGGGCAGCCAUGUUCCAGAUUAAAGUGGGCUCAGAGUCUGUGGUCUACACGGUCAGUGGAAGGGCUUGAGGCUUGGGAGGGGCUGCUGGGGUGGGAGGCACCCUCCUCAUGGCAUCCUUGAUCGUUCACCAGGGUGAUUAUAACAUGACCCCAGACCGACACUUAGGGUAAGUAGGCUGAGGUGUCUUUUUGUCCCGUGGGCCCCCCUGGAGCUCAGGACCCUUGCAGGUGUCAGGGUGCCAGCCCUUGAGUGGCCAGCCUGGCAGUGUCUCCCAUGUCCUGUGCGGCCUGGAGAGCCCCCUUCGUUCUGGGCCCAAAUGCGCGAAGGCACAGGGUCCAGGCAGGGGCCUCUGUCCCUCCUUCUCUCUCUUCCCAAGUCUCUGGGUGGGUGCCUCUGUCUCGCUCUUCCGAAGUGUCUGGGUGGG
rnacentral:lncRNA from 1 species